GGAGAGAUGACAGAGUUGGCCGAUCGUGCGCGACUGGAAAUCGUGUGGGGAGGAAACUCCCUCGUGGGUUCGAAUCCCACUCUCUCCGCCA
rnacentral:tRNA from 1 species